UUCCCCAACAAUCACCUUUGGCAUACUCUUCUGAAGAAAUUUUCCAGCGGAAUAGGUAGUGGUGGAUACGAGUUAAAGAAGAUUGGUGGAUCAGUUGAUAGAUACGAGUAUGGAGAAAAAAGGACUGAUUAACUUGGAACGACGUCGGAUUUGAGUUAGGGUACCUUAGUGUAUAUACCGAAAAAGUCAAGAUAAAUAUGGCUCCUCAUAUCUCGGUAUCCCCCAAUUAUAGUUGAAAGUUAAAAGACAAUUUCAAACCAAAAAUGAUAAAUACUGAAGGAAUAAAGGGGAUUUGUUACUUCAUAGUUUCAUAUUUAUAUAGCUCUUUCAAAUUCCUGAAUGUUGAAGACGAAGAUCGUUUUUGUUUUUUAGAAGUGACUAGGGUUUCAUUUUUAUUUUUUGCUAUUGAUAUUUAUUUUUUUGUUUUGAUCCAUUGCAGGUUAGAUCCGUCUAAUCAUAGAACCACCGCUUCUACGGUGUGUUCUCACAAAUGUUUGUGAUUCCAUAUGAGUUUGAUAAUAUUCAUUGUCUCUCUUCCUCACCAUGAAAAUCAUAAGAAAACUCAAGAAAUCAAUGAAAUCAGUAACUAUUGUGUUUUCUUGAUUCUUCAUUCUUUCCGUCUGCCAGAUUUCUCUUUCUAAAAAUUAAGGUAACUGAUGCUCUAAUUUUUCUGGGUCUUCUUUUAGUGGAAAUAUAUUUGUGUUUUCUUGAUGUUUAUAUGUGAUGUGUGUAACUAAUGUGUGUGUGUAUAUGUUGCUUGUAUGGAAUGGGGAUAGGUGAAAAAAUGGUAAUGGAACGGGGAUGGGUUAAACAUGGACUAUCAUCGUCUUUUUAACUAUAAAAUAACCAUUAGCGAGUUACUCUGUCUAAAAAUAAUAUGUGUGGAAGCAGCAACAAGAAUUACAAGGUACUAAAAAAAGUCCUUACUCUUUACCUAUUCAUAUAACAACUUUUGUGAGAUAACACCAGGUGAUGGACAACAUUAGAAAUUGAAAAGCAUUUGCCUCGAGAUGAAUUGUCCAAUGUACCUAAAUUGUAUGGAAGAAAAAUAUGGAGAUUCUAACAAACCGUAAGAUUCCAUUUCCGGCUAAGGAGAAAUGAUAUCUAUUGAAACUUUGGCUAGAAAAAUUAUGACCUCGAUUUGUGUAAGCCAUAGUCAUAAGAGGUAGUUAUGUUACAAGAAAUAUAAUUGUAGGAGCCUUCCUGAAUGUUGAGUUUGAAUGAACCAACCUAUGAAUUGGAAUUGCAUGGUUUGAAUGUUGAUGUUAAAUGUAAACUAUUUGUUGAAUACUCAAGCAAAAUGUAAAUCAUAUUUAUACCCUUUAUAGAUAUAAUUAUGAUCAUACAAUUAUGCAGGUUACUAAAA